ACUAUGUCUAGCCGUAAACCUUAAACUACUGCUUAAUCGCCAGGGAACUACGAGCAAAGCUUAAAACCCAAAGGACUUGACGGUACCCCAUAUCCACCUAGAGGAGCCUGUCCUAUAAUCGAUACCCCACGUUAAACCUCACCAUUUUCUAGUUUAUCAGCCUGUAUACCUCCGUCGUCAGCUUACCGCGUGAGCGACUCCAGUGAGCUUAAUGGUUUUACACCAAUACGUCAGGUCAAGGUGCAGCAAAUGAAAUGGGAAGAGAUGAGCUACACUUUCUAAUUUAGAAAAAACGAAAGACUCUAUGAAACCUAGUCAGAAGGCGGAUUUAGAAGUAAGGGAAAAUCAGAACGUUCCCCUUAACCCGGCACUGGGGUGUGUACACACCGCCCGUCACCCUCUUCAAAAACCAAUUGUAGUAUUUAACUAGCCAACGUACAAAAGAAGAGGUAAGUCGUAACAUGGUAAGUAUACCGGAAGGUGUACUUGGACA
rnacentral:rRNA from 1 species